UACGGAGGGUGCAAGCGUUAAUCGGAAUUACUGGGCGUAAAGCGCACGUAGGUGGUUUACUAAGCCGGCUGUGAAAUCCCCGGGCUCAACCUGGGCACUGCAGUUGGAACUGGUAAGCUAGAGUAGGGUAGAGGGGUGUGGAAUUCCAGGUGUAGCGGUGAAAUGCGUAGAUAUCUGGAGGAACAUCAGUGGCGAAGGCGACACCCUGGACUCAUACUGACACUGAGGUGCGAAAGCGUGGGGAGCAAACAGG
rnacentral:rRNA from 1 species